rnacentral:rRNA from 1 species
GACGAACGCUGGCGGCGUGCCUAAUACAUGCAAGUCGAACGCAGUUGCGAACGGGUGAGUAACGCGUAGGUAACUGCCUCAUAGCGGGGGGUAACUUUUGGAAACGAUAGCUAAUACCGCAUACUUUGUGAUGGAUCUGCGUUGUAUUGGCGAGUUGGUGCGGUAAAGGCCCACCAAGGUGACGAUACAUAGGCGACCUGUGAGGGUGAUCGGCCACAAUGGGACUGAGGCACGGCCCAGGCUUCUACCGGAAGCAGGAGUUGGGGAUCAUCGGCAAAGGGGGGAAGGCUGAACGAGCAACGGCGCGGGAGUGAAGAAGGUUUUCGGGUCGGAAAGCUCUGUUGUGAGAGAAGCGGUAACUAACCAGAAAGGGACGGCUAACUACGUGCCAGCAGCCGCGGUAAUUC